GACGGGGCCCGCACAAGCGGUGGAGUAUGUGGUUAAUUCGAUGCAACGCGAAAACCUUACCUGCCCUUGACAUCCUCGGAACUUGUCAGAGAUGACUUGGUGCCUUCGGGAACCGAGAGACAGGUGCUGCAUGGCUGUCGUCAGCUCGUGUCGUGAGAUGUUGGGUUAAGUCCCGUAACGAGCGCAACCCUUGUCAUUAGUUGCUACAUUCAGUUGGGCACUCUAAUGAGACUGCCGGUGACAAACCGGAGGAAGGUGGGGAUGACGUCAAGUCCUCAUGGCCCUUAUAGGUGGGGCUACACACGUCAUACAAUGGAUGGUACAAAGGGUCGCCAACCCGCGAGGGGGAGCCAAUCCCAUAAAGCCAUUCGUAGUCCGGAUCGCAGUCUGCAACUCGACUGCGUGAAGUCGGAAUCGCUAGUAAUCGUGGAUCAGAAUGUCACGGUGAAUACGUUCCCGGGUCUU
rnacentral:rRNA from 1 species